CUGGUGUGGGGGGUCGGAAUCACCCUGCCAGCUGGGGAUUGCGAAGGGGCCCCAGCCACGGGCUCUGCUCCAGCCCUUCUCGCGCCAGGGACUUGGCUUGGCUCUUUGGGCUUUUCAUCCCGAACCCACCAGUGUCUCUCCCCACCCUUUGCCAUGCACCCUGUUGCAUCAAAGUUAGGGCCCAGCCAGGCCAGGACUAACAGGGCUGCGGCCCUAGCAGGGCACCAGAAGCAGGUAUUUUCCAGUCCAUGCAGACUGGCUACGUUGUGCGUUAACUGUUCUGCUAGGGUGCUGGGAUUUGCUUGGCUAGCAGGGGCAAGCGGCGUGGUUAAAGUUCAGACAAAAAACCAGCCGGGAAAAUUUGGGAAAUGGUCUUUUCCCUAAAUGAACCUGAGAUGAAACUGCUCUCACAGUUGCUCACCCUGGGUGAGCAAGGGUGGAAAGGAUCAAGCUUGGGGCAGGCUCUACAUCUGCUCCACAAUCCCCUUAAGGAAAGGAAGUGGCCAUCUGAGGCUAGCGGGGACCAUGUUCAGUACAGAGAGAGGGGCUGCAUGUGAGCGGGAGAAACGGGCAGGCAGCAGCCUGGGAGCUGGCUGUGCAGGGAAGGCCGGGUGGCAAGGAGCCCGGGAGGAAAGCCUGAAAAAUUGAGAGCCAGUUUCCAGUAGCCCUAGAAAAGUGAUCUGCUGUUACUCAAAAUGGAUGUUGAUCUCCACCCACCAAAGGCAAGGACCUGGUGCUUGUAGUGCCGAUCAAUCAUGCUUGCCUCCCUGCCCCGUCGCGGACAUCAGAGGGGACUGAAGUACCACAGCCCUCAAAGCUCUGACUUGCAGCGGGGUUCGGUACAAUGAUCUGGUCAGUCAGGGGAGGCAUCCUUUUCAAUAGCCAGCUACCAACAGCCCUUUGUUACGGGCCCCAGAAAGCCUGCUUUGUGUUCCCUCUGCUUGGUGUACAGGAGCAGCAAGCUGAUCCCCAGCACUGGACAGAGGUGACAGCCAUCCACGAUGCAGGGGGUUGUUGCAGCCAAAGAACAUUCAUGUUAGCUUCAGCUGAAUGAAGAAACACACAGGGGGCAAAAAGACCAGUGUUUGCUAAAUGGGCUUCCUGACGUUGCUGCGUGCAAUGAAAGAUGCUACUGGUGAAAGACGUCAACGUGCAGGAUCCCUGCGGUGGGAUGGGACAAGUCAUGCAAUUGCUGCCCUGGCAUCCUCGUGUGAGGUUGUUCUCUGGAGCAGGUAUUCAGAGCGAUCCUUCUGCAAAAUGAAACCUCACCGGAUAAAGAGAGGGACAAAGAGAGGGAGUCCUACAAAUCUACAAAUCCAACUGCAUUCAAAUUGGGUAUCUUGUAUGAGAUUCCAAUCUAGCCCAUUAAGUGAACAUCAGCAGCCUCAUUAUUAUUAUUAAUUACCGUAGCACCUAGAGUCCCCACCCAAGAUUGGAGCGGGCCCUGUUGUACAUAUGCUUAGGAAGCAGACUCCUAAAAAGUCCCCACAAUUUGCCAUGCAGCAUGACAGUGUGUGUGUGGGGGGGGGGCAGCAUUCAGCUUGUGAUAAAACGGGCAAAUGCAGAGGAAGCCAUUGGGUGCCAGGGGUCCCCUUGGUACGGGUGACGCACUCAGGGACCCAAGCCAAGAGACGCGCCAGUCACCAAGUGAUGAAUCCAAUGCCGAGAGGAGUGCUUUGCUGGUGGGACAGCUGCAGCUGCAUUUCAGUUCUGUUGCUAGGGAGGGCAGGGGAAACUAUGAGCCCUAUCCAUCACCCUUAUGCCCAGGAGUGGCCCCCUUGGCCCCAGCUGGGCUGUGAAUGAGAGUCAGGGUGGCAGGAUCAGGCCUGUCAAUUGAGCGUAUCGUAUGUGGGUUUAUCCGUAAAGAUGUUCUGGUUAACAAGGCUAAUUUCCUAGUCCCUACUAAUUCCCCAGUCAGCCUAAGAGUCACACAAAUGGUGGCCUUCACACCCCCAGCCUUCCACUUCAUUUCACCUACUGUUAUUAUUCCUGUAGCACCUAGUGUCAGGCGACUGGGACGUGGGCAGUCUAGCCUAGUGGGCAGUGCGAGCAUCAGGUCUAAGGGUUAGAGACGGCAUCAGGAACUGAGCAUCAGAAACCAGGGGCUAGGGUCAGAGCUGGAGACUGAGGUCAGGCACUGGGUACCACAGCCAACAGUCAAGCUGGAGUCCCCUAGAGCAUAACAGGCCAGGUGGGGUCUCUGGCAGGGACAAGAGUAGUGACGAUAAUGUGCAUGAGCACUGAACAGAUAGCAAGCUGCUGCUGGCAUGAGCUGCUUUGCUGGCCCCUCCAGCUGAUCAGACAGCCUGCUGCAAGCCAUGGAUUGCCUGGAGACUGGCUCUGUUUCAGGCCCUGAUUUCUGACACCUGGCACCCCAUUGUGCUAGGCCCCAUACGAACACCUAGGAAGAGACAGUCCUGGCUCCAAACAGCUUACCAUCUGUGUAAACAUGACUGAGGAAAGCCAGGAGAAAGGAAGUGCUGUUAUCUCCAUUUUACUGAUGGGGGAUUGAGGCACCAGGAAGAUUAAGAGACUUGCCCAAGGUCACUUGGGCAGUCUAUGGGCAGAACUGAGCAUUGAACCCUGAUUUCCUGAGUCCAGUGCCAGAAAAGACUGUCUUUUCCCACCCACUGAGCAAUCUUUGGGGUGGGGGGGCCUGGGCUCAUGGCCACGGGGGCGUGCACAGCAGGAGGGGAUCAAAAUCACCACCAGAAUUGUUUAAAACUUUUCAUCUGCAUGGCUAUGGACUUAAACCCUCUCCCCAAACAAUUUGGAGAAUAAAUGCUCCAACCUGAAAGCCCUGACCACAAAGGAGAAGAGCAGGUGAAACUGAAGCUGAAUGAAAAAUCUCUGGUGGUAUUUGACUGGUUAUGUUACAUUUAGUGAAUACCAACAACUUUACAUGAUCAGCUAUUGCUUUCUGUGAUACCAUUUUUAUUCUUCGUCCCAGCAAAUCCUAGCUAAAGCUGGCUCAGGACACUCAAUGCAGCUGACAAAAUAUAACAAUAAUGCACAUAAUAAUAAUAAUAAUAACUUACACAAGAAUAUAUGAAGAGGAGAAUCUGUCCCUUUGUGUGUGUUUUUCCAGGCAUGAGGCUUUAGGCCAAGUGUCUUUAACAGUCUCUUUUCUGCCAAGAAUGGGAGUAUUCACUCAGAAAUAUAGGACAGGGGCCUGAUUAUCUCAUCAGUUGCGGAGGCCAUAGCCAAUGGGAGCUGCAUGCAUGCAACUGACAGGCUAAUUGAGCCCCAGAAAUUCUAAUGCCAGCACUGCUUGAAUGGAAGUGGUAGGAGUCCUUUAGCGCUUGCCAAAUGCAGCUGCUAAUGUCCGUUAGCCAGGAUAUAUAAGUGUACAUCUUAGAAAGCCAGCUCAUCCCUGAAAGAACUGUAACUCCACACUAGACUGGACAUUAAGGAACUAAUUUUAUCCUCUUAAGCUUCAUCCUUUCUGCCAUCUCAGAGGGGAUCAGAGUAACAGUUUGGUAUAUUAUUUAAAGAUAACAUCAGACACAGCUAAGUAUUAGAGUUAUUAUAGGACACUGGUUUAUUGAACUGCCAAAGUGUAAUCACUGAACUCCUUGAAUUUUAAAAGAGUUUGUUUUCUAAAGGAAUAAAAUAGCAGGAUCCAGUAACAUUCAGCUCUCGUUUAGUCUCGGGAUCUUUUCUAUGCCAUGAAUAUUUGGAUGUGUUGAAACAGGAAGAACUACGUGCAACUGAGGGAAAAACACAACCCAGUGAUGGGCCGUCUCAGAUUUACAGGGGGAAUCCCAUAAAUGGGCUGAGGGGAGGAACAGAGAAACGAUUUAAACAUUUGUGACCAUCCCCCACAACUUUCCUCCCCCCAAAUAUUAAAAUUCCGAGGGACUAAAUCACUCAUUAAAAUAAAGGAAAAUAUUUUAAUUCACAUGGGAGGGAAAAACCCAUGAAAAUAUCAGAAAACAUCCAAAA